UUUAAAGGUCGAACAGACCUAUUAUUUAGAACUUCUGCACUCUAAAAUUUCUUUAAUUCAACAUCGAGGUCGCAAACAUUGUUAUAGAUAAGAACUCUCCAACAAAAUUACGCUGUUAUCCCUAAGGUAACUUAUUCUAAUAAUCAAUAAUAAUGGAUCAAAUAUUCAUAAAUUUAUGUUUGUAAAUAAAAAAGUUAAUUAAAUUUUCCUGUCACCCCAACAAAAUAUAAAAUAAUUUAGAUAAAAAUAUUUUACUAUAUAAAUAUAAAUUAAAAUAUAUAAAGUUCUAUAGGGUCUUCUCGUCCUUCAAAAUAAUUCAAGCCUUUUAACUAGAAAGCUAAAUUAUUAAAAUUCUAAGAGUGAGACAGUUUGUAUUUCGUUCAACCAUUCAUACUAGCCUUUAAUUAAAAGGCAAAUGAUUAUGCUACCUUUGCACAGUCAAUAUACUGCGGCCCUUCAAAUAUCAGUGGGCAGGCCAGACUUUAUAUUUUUAACAAAAAGAG
rnacentral:rRNA from 1 species